rnacentral:rRNA from 1 species
UCGGAAUUACUGGGCGUAAAGCGCACGUAGGCGGAUCAGAAAGUUGGGGGUGAAAUCCCGGGGCUCAACCCCGGAACUGCCUCCAAAACUCCUGGUCUAGAGUUCGAGAGAGGUGAGUGGAAUUCCGAGUGUAGAGGUGAAAUUCGUAGAUAUUCGGAGGAACACCAGUGGCGAAGGCGGCUCACUGGCUCGAUACUGACGCUGAGGUGCGAAAGUGUGGGGAGCAAACAGGAUUAGAUACCCUGGUAGUCCACACCGUAAACGAUGAAUGCCAGACGUUGGGCAGUAUACUGUUCGGUGUCACACCUAACGGAUUAAGCAUUCCGCCUGGGGAGUACGGUCGCAUGAUUAAAACUCAAAGGAAUUGACGGGGGCCCGCACAAGCGGUGGAGCAUGUGGUUUAAUUCGACGCAACGCGAAGAACCUUACCUGGGUUUGACAUCCCGAUCGCACCUUAGAAACAUAGGGGUCAGUUUGCUGGAUCGGUGACAGGUGC